GACGAACGCUGGCGGCGUGCCUAAUACAUGCAAGUAGAACGCUGAAGAGAGGAGCUUGCUCUUCUUGGAUGAGUUGCGAACGGGUGAGUAACGCGUAGGUAACCUGCCUGGUAGCGGGGGAUAACUAUUGGAAACGAUAGCUAAUACCGCAUAAAAUUGAUUAUUGCAUGAUAAUUAAUUGAAAGAUGCAAUUGCAUCACUACCAGAUGGACCUGCGUUGUAUUAGCUAGUUGGUGAGGUAACGGCUCACCAAGGCGACGAUACAUAGCCGACCUGAGAGGGUGAUCGGCCACACUGGGACUGAGACACGGCCCAGACUCCUACGGGAGGCAGCAGUAGGGAAUCUUCGGCAAUGGGGGGAACCCUGACCGAGCAACGCCGCGUGAGUGAAGAAGGUUUUCGGACCGUAAAGCUCUGUUGUAAGAGAAGAACGGGUGUGAGAGUGGAAAGUUCACACUGUGACGGUAUCUUACCAGAAAGGGACGGCUAACUACGUGCCAGCAGCCGCGGUAAUACGUAGGUCCCGAGCGUUGUCCGGAUUUAUUGGGCGUAAAGCGAGCGCAGGCGGUUAGAUAAGUCUGAAGUUAAAGGCUGUGGCUUAACCAUAGUAUGCUUUGGGAACUGUUUAACUUGAGUGCAGAAGGGGAGAGUGGAAUUCCAUGUGUAGCGGUGAAAUGCGUAGAUAUAUGGAGGAACACCGGUGGCGAAAGCGGCUCUCUGGUCUGUAACUGACGCUGAGGCUCGAAAGCGUGGGGAGCAAACAGGAUUAGACACCCUGGUAGUCCACGCCGUAAACGAUGAGUGCUAGGUGUUAGGCCCUUUCCGGGGCUUAGUGCCGCAGCUAACGCAUUAAGCACUCCGCCUGGGGAGUACGACCGCAAGGUUGAAACUCAAAGGAAUUGACGGGGGCCCGCACAAGCGGUGGAGCAUGUGGUUUAAUUCGAAGCAACGCGAAGAACCUUACCAGGUCUUGACAUCCCUCUGACCGCUCUAGAGAUAGAGUUUUCCUUCGGGACAGAGGUGACAGGUGGUGCAUGGUUGUCGUCAGCUCGUGUCGUGAGAUGUUGGGUUAAGUCCCGCAACGAGCGCAACCCCUAUUGUUAGUUGCCAUCAUUGAGUUGGGCACUCUAGCGAGACUGCCGGUAAUAAACCGGAGGAAGGUGGGGAUGACGUCAAAUCAUCAUGCCCCUUAUGACCUGGGCUACACACGUGCUACAAUGGCUGGUACAACGAGUCGCAAGCCGGUGACGGCAAGCUAAUCUCUGAAAGCCAGUCUCAGUUCGGAUUGUAGGCUGCAACUCGCCUACAUGAAGUCGGAAUCGCUAGUAAUCGCGGAUCGGCACGCCGCGGUGAAUACGUUCCCGGGCCU
rnacentral:rRNA from 1 species